CCAAAGGGUGACUACCUUUGAUGCUCAUCUGCCUCUCCAGAGAAGACAUUAGUGAUCGCCCCCUCCUCCUACAAGUUCUUCUGGUUACUUACGAACAAGUCUAGACAAUAUAUUUCAAACUCAAAAAUCGGACAGGAGAUAAAUAGAUUCGGGAAGAGGGACUUCAGCCAUUUUUCACAGCCCUGCAGAAGUCACGCACAUUUCUGCUGAAUCAAGCACAAGAUAAUGCUACAAGAUCCACUCAACUGAAACACAUCACCUCAGCCACCAUACGUUGCUAACUAUUAAAACAAAAUGGGAAUCGG